rnacentral:lncRNA from 1 species
AAUCCAAACAUUGUUAGACUCUUCACCCUAGCUCCUUACAUGCCAAAUAAAAAGGAGAUUUUAUUCUCUUUUAUGCAUGUAAGAAAGAAGAGAGAAUUCUAUUCAUGUUGGGAGGCUUUGGGCAAGGGUUCUUGGCAUGAAAAAGAAGAGGAGAGUCCUUCUUUGGGUAAGCGCAAAAUCUAGUUUUCUAGGAUUUGAUCCCAAGGUUUUGGAAGAGAGAAAAAUAAGAGAAAAAAUUAUUUCCUCUCCAUAUUUCCUCCUCCUCUUCAUCUCCUCCAGAUGUCUAUCUUCAACCUCUAAAAAGAUUCGAG